rnacentral:rRNA from 1 species
GGGGGGCCCUUAACACAAUGCAAGUCGAGCAGGAUGACGGGAGCUUGCUCCUUGAUUCAGCGGCGGACGGGUGAGUAAUGCCUAGGAAUCUGCCUGGUAGUGGGGGACAACGUUUCGAAAGGAACGCUAAUACCGCAUACGUCCUACGGGAGAAAGCAGGGGACCUUCGGGCCUUGCGCUAUCAGAUGAGCCUAGGUCGGAUUAGCUUGUUGGUGAGGUAAUGGCUCACCAAGGCGACGAUCCGUAACUGGUCUGAGAGGAUGAUCAGUCACACUGGAACUGAGACACGGUCCAGACUCCUACGGGAGGCAGCAGUGGGGAAUAUUGGACAAUGGGCGAAAGCCUGAUCCAGCCAUGCCGCGUGUGUGAAGAAGGUCUUCGGAUUGUAAAGCACUUUAAGUUGGGAGGAAGGGCAGUAAGUUAAUACCUUGCUGUUUUGACGUUACCGACAGAAUAAGCACCGGCUAACUCUGUGCCAGCAGCCGCGGUAAUACAGAGGGUGCAAGCGUUAAUCGGAAUUACUGGGCGUAAAGCGCGCGUAGGUGGUUUGUUAAGUUGGAUGUGAAAGCCCCGGGCUCAACCUGGGAACUGCAUCCAAAACUGGCAAGCUAGAGUACGGUAGAGGGUGGUGGAAUUUCCUGUGUAGCGGUGAAAUGCGUAGAUAUAGGAAGGAACACCAGUGGCGAAAGGCGACCACCUGGACUGAUACUGACACUGAGGUGCGAAAGCGUGGGGAGCAAACAGGAUUAGAUACCCUGGUAGUCACGCCGUAAACGAUGUCAACUAGCCGUUGGAAUCCUUGAGAUUUUAGUGCGCCAGCUAACGCAUAAGUGACCGCCUGGGGAGUACGCGCAGGUAAAACUCAAUGAAUGACCGCGUCGGACACGCGUGGACAAGUGGUAAUCGAGCACGUAGACUUACACCGUCUGAACUUGCAGAUAAAUC